UUUUGGGUUGUAAACCUCUUUUGUUAAGGAAGAAGAAAGUGACGGUACUUAACGAAUAAGCAUCGGCUAACUCCGUGCCAGCAGCCGCGGUAAUACGGAGGAUGCAAGCGUUAUCCGGAAUCAUUGGGCGUAAAGCGUCCGCAGGUGGUUAAUCAAGUCUGCUGUUAAAGACAGAAGCUCAACUUCUGGUCGGCGGUGGAAACUGGUAAACUAGAGUACGGUAGGGGUCGAGGGAAUUCCCAGUGUAGCGGUGAAAUGCGUAGAUAUUGGGAAGAACACCAGUGGCGAAGGCGCUCGACUGGGCCGUAACUGACACUCAGGGACGAAAGCUAGGGUAGCGAAAGGGAUUAGAUACCCCUGUAGUCCUAGCUGUAAACGAUGAACACUAGGCGUUGCUUGUAUCGACCCGAGCAGUGCCGUAGCCAACGCGUUAAGUGUUCCGCCUGGGGAGUACGCAGGCAACUGUGAAACUCAAAGGAAUUGACGGGGGCCCGCACAAGCGGUGGAGUAUGUGGUUUAAUUCGAUGCAACGCGAAGAACCUUACCAGGACUUGACAUCCCAAGAAGGAAGCCUAAUAGCUUCUGUGCCUUAGGGAACUUGGAGACAGGUGGUGCAUGGCUGUCGUCAGCUCGUGUCGUG
rnacentral:rRNA from 1 species